ACAUAAAAAUAAAACUGAAAAAAAAUUUUAGACAAAUAAAAAUUGGAAAGCGCCAGAACUUGUAGAAAAAAGUUAAUAUCUUAUUGGUCUGUGAUAAGUGAAGGGAAGGCAAAAUUAAAUAGUAAAAAUUGAAUCAAAAACUGCAAACGCAAAACGGCAGGCGGCAAAUAAAUGCGAGCACAAACCGCAAAAAAAACUUUUGAAAUUAGUAAAAUUGUAGAAAUCAUUUAACGCACCAAAUGAUUUCCGUAAAAUAUUAAAAAAGGAACACGCAAA